UGGAUAGAAGAAUGCAGUAUUUCAGUGGGUAAACUCUCUUCUGCAAAGUGAGAAGCUGUUUGAACAAUCUGGACCAAGUGUGGGAUGACAGAGUGAACCCACAAUGGAGAAGAAGAAUGAAAGUAUAAACACACCUGAAGUAACAUCGACACACACAAAGACAUACCUGGAGAACUUACUGGAGGAUCUGGGCUUGGAGCAGCACUACACAGAGAAGCUGUCCCUGAGCAAAAUACUUCAGAUCGAUGAGAAGACCAUCACUGAUGAACCUGCCAGGUGUAACUCAGAU